CCGGUGGCCUAGCGGACGUACCCGCUUGGAACGAUACAGAGAAGAUUAGCAUGGUCCUUGGGCAAGGAUGACACGCUAAAUCAUGAAGCGUUCCACGUGGCA